AUAAAUGAAAUCGUUUAGAAAUCAAAACAGAUAAAUGAAAGGCUUUAAACUAAAACAGAAAAAUGAAAUGCUAACCCUAGAAACCCUUUUUCUUUUUGCUAUACCCAUGAGUUCUUAGUGCAUCAGUUGCUAUGGAGACUCUUCCUCUGUGACCUGUUCAGCAUAUAACUUUUAUAACACCAGCUUCCGUUGAUUUCACGAGUUCAUCUAAUCAUUCUGUCAUUUCCAGAUCUGGACUUGUCAUUAUCACCUCUUCUAUCAUUGUUGCGAUUUCUGUGACGACUCACCAGUUCCUCCAUCUCACUGGGUACCUCUUCCAUCCAGUACUGUGGACCAUCGUACUUCCAUCCCUCAUUCGCCAGUCCGUGCGCUACUUUAUUGGCUUCUCAUUGUACGUGAUUAAACUGUAUGCUUCUAACUCUGCUAGAUUUUCUUUUAAUUUCUUGGAUGUAACCUUGGAUAAAUGAUCUGUCUUUUGAUUCCAGAUUUAUUUUUCUAAUAACUAUCAAUGCGUCUCCCUCAACAUCUACAUCGUGGAAGCCUAUUUCCUCCACCAUGAUGACUAUCUAUAAACAUGCUCUAGCCUCAGCCGUAGUCGGAUUUAAGCUAUUUUUUCCUGGGUAAGUGCACGAUGCCAUAAAUAACCAUAUUUGUUUCUCGCAAUGAUUCCUGACACUGAUUUAUGUUAGUUCUGGUUGAAAGCCGCAUCAAAAUUGAUUUUUAUUAUAUCUCCUCUGGGCUGUCGUCAUACCUUAUUGUUAUUCUCGUUGUUGAACUUUAGCACUUCACUCAUAAGUUUAAUUUCUAUAUAGUAUGCGUUGAUAAAACCCAAGACUUCAUGCACUAGAGCCCUACUUCCAUCGUGAUACAUUUUGUUUCUAUUAUGCCAAAUAGCCUAUAGAAGGAUAGUUCUUUUUGUGCAUUCCUCUUCAGUAAAAUGUUCAUACUCAAUCGCUAACCAUGUUUUCCAAUUUGUUUCCCUGUUGCAUGGUGAGUUACUACUUCCCAGUUCCCGAAGUACUUGUCGAGUGAAAUAACAGUCCCGAAAGAUAUGACUCAUCGUCUCCUUUUCUUCUUGGCAUACUAGACACAGUGUAUUAAUCACCAAUUUGUGGAUUUUUAGAUUAUACCGAACUGGCACCUACUCAUUAGCCACUUUCCACAGAUGUGUGCGGAUCUUGCUUGGUAUUUUUAGGAUCCUAUAAUUUUUUGUAAAACUUAGUUAGUGGAUUAUGUUGUAUAUUGGGUUCUUUUGUUGUAUUCCUCCAUUUGUACCCAUUUUUUGCUAUGUAUACCCCUGUGUUAUCCCCCCUCUAAACUAAGGUAUCUUAUGCCUCGUUGUUCGCCAAUAAGAUUGAGAUAAUUCUCUGCGUAUGUUCCUCACCAAAUAAAGAUCGAAUUUUCUCAUGUUUCUAGGUAACAGUAUCUCUAUCAAUCAAAUCUGACACGGUAGAAUACCUGAUAUUGAUUUGUUGACAUUGAACUCUCUCGUUUCCAGCUCCCGAUAGCCAUGCGUCAUUCCAAAUAUUGAUAUUCUUGUCGUUCCCAAUUCUCCAGCCAAGCCCCUCUUCUAGUAGGCGUCUGGCUCCCCAGAUGCUUCGCCAGGUAUACGAAGGGUAAGAAACAAUUCUUGCACUCAUAAACUUUCCUUUUGGGAAGUACUUCGCUUUCAUUACUCGUACAAACAAACAAUUAGGUUGCGUAAUAAUCUUUCAUCCCUAUUUUGCCAACAGGGCCAUAUUAAACAUUGAGAAAAUUUUAAAACGCAACCCUCCCUUCUUUUUGGGGAUGCACAUAUCACUCCACUUACACGAAUGAAUACCUCUAUUAUUUUUUGGAUUACGCCACCAGAAUUUACACAUAAUAUUCUCUAAGUCAUGGAAAAAAAAACUGGUAAUUGAAAGCAUUGCAUCGCAUAGAUUGGAAUAGCCUGUAAAACGGAUUUAAUAAAUAUCACUUUUCCCCUAGUCGAUAAAACUCGAACACUCCAAUUGUUUAUCAAUUUGUUGAAACGAUCUUUCAUAUCAUUGAAAGCCUAUUUUUUCCUUUGGCCCAACAUUGUAGGAAGCCCCAAAUACUUCUCCGGAUUAUUUGAAAUUCGUACUCCAAAUAUAUUACCCCUCUGUUACUCUAUUUCUCGUUCGACAUUUCCACUAAAGUAGAUCAAUGAUUUGUCAAAAUUGACCUUUUGCCCUGAUAUUGCUUCAUACUCGUUAAUUAUACUUUUCAUGUUGUUAGCAUCAUCAAUCGAUGCUUCUCAAAACAACAUACUAUCAUCAGCAAAAAAUAGAUGCGUUACUGAAAUAUUGCUUCUUCCUACCUUUGCCCUUAAAAUACUCCCCUCUCUUUUUGCAUUGUCAAGAAGUUGUGAAAAGCCUUCAACACAAAUAAGGAAUAAAUACAGGCUUAAAGGAUCGCCUUGCCUUAACCCUCUUGUAGGUCAGAAUUCUUCACCAUUUUUUCCAUUGGUCACCACCGUAUACUUGACACUAAUUAUACACUUCAUUAUAAGUGUAAUCCGUUCUUUACAAAAUCCCAUUCGUUGCAUCAUUUUUUUACAAAACACCAUUCAAUCCUAUCGUAUGCUUUACUCAUGUCGAGUUUUAAAGCAAAACCUUUAUUCAAUCUCCCUCUUUUUUUUCUUAAGAGAGUGAAGGAUCUCGUAAGCCACUAAUAUAUUAUCUGUGAUUUGCCUUCCUGGCACGAAUGCUCCUUGACUGUCAUCAAUACAAUAUUGCAAAGUAAGACGAAAUCUGUUGACAAUCACGUUUGAAAUUAUUUUAUAAAUCACAUUGCAAAGGCUAAUGGGAUGAAACUGACUCAUGUUCUUCGGUGAAAUCACCUUAGGAAUAAGGACUAUACUUGUAUGAUUCACCUCCUCCAUAUUUCUUCGACCAUUAAGGACAUGCAAACAGUACCUAGUAAUAUCCUCCCCUACAAUAUUCCUGUAUUUUUGAAAAAAGAUUGCAGGAAAGCCGCCGUUCCCUGAAGCUUUAAGAGGGGCUAUAGAUUUUAUUGCUUCUAAAACCUCUGCUGCUUGAAAUUCCUUCCUCAGAUUAUCAUUGAGCUCUUCCGUAAUACAACGAAAUAUUGUCGAAAUUAAACCGUCACUGCUACUAACUGCACUUGACGAAAACAAAUCUUUGAAAUAAUCAGUAGGAAUUUAAAUAGAGGUCCGAUAUUAGAAUAGCGGUUGUUAUAUAGCGGUAACGACGCCGUCUGAAAUCGCUACUACUGAAAAUAGCAGUGUGAAGCAGAAUUAUACCAAUAGCAGUGGAUCGCGGUCGUAAUUUAAUGGGUAACGACCAAUUGCAGCAAUAACGGGCUGCUAUUCCCAUUAUUUUUUGUUACAGUAAAUAAAUAAAAAAAUUCAUCUCCUCCAAACGAAAAUAAACAAAAACACAAUAAAACAAAAGAGAAUAUAUUCCCUUACCUUCAAAAUCAGAAAGUUUUCAAUCAAAAAAAGUAAAAAGAAGUCCAAGUAAACAAAAAAAAAAAGCAAUCAAAACUCAAAAGCAAUAGAAAAUAUGAAAUUCUAUUUCUCAUAUUUCGGUUUAGACCGUAAACUCUAAAGACCAAACGGCAAACAAAAUCACAACAUAGCAGAGCUACCAUUGGAGUAUUGAACCUGAAAAACAAACCCUGAUGACUUGCACAUUCAGAGAUUGAUAAUUUUCAAGUAAGUACCUGAGAUUAUUGUCUUGAUUCUUGCUUGUAUGUCUUAAAUCUGCAAUGCAAAUAUGUUCUUUAGAGUUUAGACUUUAAGGAUGAAGGGAGGAGGCACAACUAGCAUAUUCUAAGAAUUUGAUAUGCAAAGUAGAGGAUAUGAGUUUUUAGAGGAGAGGAUGAUAGAGUUUCUCUUCAGUUUUUCUUCUUUCUAAGUUUUGUGUGUUUAGGGAUUUAAGAAAAGAGGUGUUUCUGCCGUUUCAUUUCCUUUGUUUUUUCAUUUUAAUUUUCAUUUACUCUUAGGCAAAACCGAGGCUAUUUAUUAAAUAUCCUCUUUUAGAAGCUUCGUGCAAUGUGUUUCCGUUGGGACAUUAAGUGAAUCAAAGUUGUAAACAACUGGAACCAUAAAAGAGAAAGGAAGAAAAGAAACUGGUCCUAAUAAUAAUGUAACACCCUUAACCCUAUACCGUCACUGGAACAAGGUUACGAGCAUUAUCGGACAUAUUGAACAAAUUCCAAAUAACUCACAAAUAAUUAACAUACAAAGUAUAAAUUUAAUCCUUAAGUCCCUAUAAUGGACCCUCGAGGUCCAAAACACGUAUUAGAAGUGGAUCGAGACUUAUCCAAGUGCUCGAAGAAUUUUCGUAAAUUUUUAAUUUUUUUAUUUAAUCUUUCAUUUACCAAUUUAAAUCAUCACAUAUUAUUCUUACAAUUCAAAACCACAUUAACUCAAAAUACAACCUAGGUACAUGCCAAAUAUACCAAAAUAAAAUAUACAUUACCAAGGUUGCUGAGAUUAGGAUUGGUUCGGAUGCUGGACCAGAUUUUGACUCAUACUGACCUGUGCACGGAAAAUAACCGUGCGCUGAGUAUAGAAAUACUCAGUGGUAUUACUAUAAUUCAAACUAUAAUAACAAUAAUGAAGUAUAAAUAUUAAACAUAUAACAAUUGAAUUUUCUCAAAUAUUAGCUUGUUCUUAAACUUCAUUCGUUAAUAAUAGUAACACAAUUUCAACUAUUUAUCAGUUUCAAACAAAUAUCAUAGACUUUGAUUUCUUCACUUCAUCAAUGUUUAGUUCAUGCCUUCCAUUUCCAAUCUCAAUUUCAAUCCACAAUUUAAAUUUCUCAUUUCAGUUUUUCACCCUAUUAACAGACCCAGACUUUAGCGGAUACACGGAUCCAACCAAACACACCAGAAUGGCACUCAGUGCCUCAUUGGAUAGUUCGAAGUAAAGUUGACACCCAGUGUCUCAUCGGCCUAGCCGAAGUAAAGUGGUACCCAAUACCUCAUUGAAACUAUCUGAAGUACAAUAGUGACACCCAGUGUCUGAUCGACUCGAGGUCGAAGUAUCCCUAAACACUUCUAAUCUUAUGGCAUGCUAACUAUAUCCGACUUAGCCUGACUAGUUAAUAGGGUAUUUAAUUCACUUUCUCUGUUUCAAUCAGUAUUCACAUCAAUUCCACUUAAAUCACAAUUUCACUUUCAUUUCAAAAAUCCACUUUCAAAAUCAAAUACACUUUCCAUUCACCAAUCAAAAUACAAUUCAAUACUAACACAUAUUUCUCAUUCAAUUCAACUUCACUUUAAAUCCCAAAUUCUCUUUCAAUUCAACAAUUCAAUCAUAAUCCAAUACUAAAAUUUAUUUAACAACCAUUUCAAUUAUCAUUCAAUUCCAUAACAACACUUACCUCAUAAUUUACUUGCCAAAUACAUAAUUUAAUUUAACAUUUAAUAAAUAAAUAAAUAAUUUGAAUUAUAGUAAUACAAGCCCCGAUUUGUUCGAUUACUCCUUGACAACUUUUUCUUUUCCUUUCAGUAUCGAUUUGCUAGCUACGAGAAUAAUAAUAAUUUUCACUAUUAAUUACAGCAUUAAAUUAUCAUAAAUAAUUGAAUUUUAUUCAAUUCCUGUAACGCCCCAAUUUUCGGGAAUUCUGUGAAUGUUGGCAUAUGUUUAAUUAUGUUAGUGGGCCUCUAGAAGGCCCAAGCUUAAGAUAGAACCCAGUAAUUUUAGUUAAUUUUUUUGUUUUAUAAGAAAAAGGGGGUGAAAUUAUGAAAUAGAACCUAUGUGAAAAUGUUUGAAAAUGCUAUAGGCUAAAUUGAAGUGGCCAAAUAAAUAGGAGUACAAAAUAGGAGGAUUUGCAUGACAAACCUCCCAUUUUACAUGAAGUGGCCAGUCAUCAUGUUGUUGGAGACAAAAUGUGCACUUGAUAUCCAUAAUUUAUGGUACAAAUCGAUACAAAUUGAUAAUAAGUUAGGUAAAUAUUCCAUGAUAAUAGGUUAAGUAAAUGUUCCAUGAUAAUGGGUUAGGUAAAUGUUUCAUGAUAAUGGGUUAGGUAAAUGUUUCAUGAUAAGAAUUUCAUGUCUUUUGUCCAUCUUUCUUAGUCUGGAUCGGCAAAAGUCAAAAAGCUGAAAUGCCGAAAAUCGGUAUUUUUUAGAUUUGCGAGUGUGCGAAUGCUCGUGAGGUAAAUCUAUUAAUGUUUUUGGUAAGCUGUAAAAUUUGGACUGCAAAAUGCAUGAUUUCUGUGCCCUCAAUAUUUUUGGGCUUAAUGAGCCAAAAUUGGAAUGAUGGGCCAACGGGCUCAAUUCGGUAAGAACCUUCGGUACGUGAUUCUGUUAGUACGUGAAAGGUAGGAAUAUGCAUGAAAAACCCUCAAAUAGAUAAAUUACUGAAAUACUUUUAAAAGUGAAAAAUUUACAAUUUUACCCCUAGUAGAUAAAUUACUGGAAUACCCCUAGGGUUAAAUUGACCUAAAUGCAUGUUUGACUGUUGUUAUUUACUGCAUGCCAUGUUAUUAUCUGAUGCAUGGGAUUGGGAUAUUGACGGAGGAAGUACUGAAAGUGGCUUGUCCACGUACUAGAGGCUUUGCCUCAAUUUACUGUUAACUGAGCAGCAAGGCUGCAACUGUGGAGUGUUGGGCUGGGUGGGUUGAGCUAUUCCCCACAUGGAGUGUAUGGCUGGUACGGGUGGAGUGUAGUGGUUGGUGGGUUGAAUAGUCUUCCCAAAUAGGCUUGCAUAUGUUUAUUGAUGUUGCAUGUAUUUUGAAAUGGGCCUAUGGGCCAUAUUAUUAUCUGAAUAAGGGGCUAAGGCCCAGUUUAUUGUAAUCUGAAAAGGGCUCUGGCCCAGUAUCACUGUUACCUGAAUGGGCUUAGGCCCAAUGGGCUUGAGCUGACUUGGGCUUUGAAUGGGUUUUCCUUACACACUGAGUUUCCCGAAACUCACCCCUUUUAUUUUCAUCCACGUAGGAAAUCCCCAACCAUAGUGGGCUUGGAGCUGUGAGGGAAUUCGGAGUGGCCACCCGUUCUGAAAGUUUGAUUUUUUUCUGGUGAACUGGACAUCCUUUUAUUUACGUUUGAAGUUUUGGGUUUUUAAAUGUAAUAAGGCCGCUUAAUUAUUUUUAAUGGUUUUAAUAUGUAUUACUAAGAUAGGUAUUACUUAUUUUAACUGUUGAAAUUAGAUAGUUUUAGGGCGCGUUUUCAAAAACAACAGUUGAUUUCAAAAUAACACGACAACAAACAAAGCUUCCGCAAUGAAAGUAUUU
rnacentral:lncRNA from 1 species